UGGGGAGCACUGCCAGAGCUGUGCAGGACACACAGGGCUUGGUUAUUAGUGGGAUUCAGGGCAGGAAUGGAAGAACUGGCAAACAGGAAGGAAGAAAACUGAAGGAAAAGGGGAGCACUAAGACCUCCCUCCCCCCUCCGCCUGUGCAGCUUACGGUUCUGCGUUGGGAGAGGUAUUUCCAGGAAGGAAGAAGAGAAGAAGGAGGAAGAUGUUUGGUUUGCUGGGCAGCUUGUUCUUCCCCAUGGUGCAGAGCAGGUUGUGGUUUUGGGUGGAAAGCUUUCAUCAGAUUGGCCAGGGUCCCCCAUCCUACCUGUGCCACAAGAUAUCACUGAUGUCAGGAUGUCACUGAUUGACCUGUCCAAGGGAUGAUUCUACAGGAACAAAACCUGAGAGCAUCUUCACAUCAACAAUAGCCAUAUUGGAGACUUUACGCUUUCCUGUGUAACUAAAAUGAGAAAAGUUCUGUUAGUCUGGUCUGCAAAUGGAAAGGAGAUCAGUGAAUAAUAUUUUCAGCUUCCAACAAUCCUGUUUUUCUUCCUAUAGCUACACAGCAGCAAAUUACUUGUAUUUAAAUCCUUCCUUGCAUGUUUUUCAAAACUGUGAAUGCAAGAGGGUAGAUCAAUGAAAGAAAGUUACCUGGCAAAAAGGACAAGGUCAAACUUUGGUGGAGAGUUGCUUGUGCAGGAUACAUUCGCUGUCCUUACGGAGAGAGAAAAUCCUGCAACUUUAUUUGGCAAAUGGAUGUUGUAUCUCAGAGUGGUCUAAAAGAGAUGGAAAGCAUGAGAUGGUAACGGACUUAAAGGGUUUUGUGUCUUUGGCAUGACAUAUGCAGAGGAAAAAAGUAUGGAGAACCCCAUGCUUAUAUCUUAGAGAGGUCGUGCUGAGUUUCCAGCUUGCUUACCUGCAGAUAAACACAGCCAGUGCCAUUCACUUCCACACUGUAAUUCCCCGGAAUAGUAGGCAAGGAAGCCUGCUGCAGUAAGAAGCGGUUCUUGUCAUUCACCUGGAAAAUCCUACUGGGGGACUCCAUAGAGUGGACUUUGACUGUGUUAAGAUUUGUUUUUGAGAAGGUGAGGUAUCCGUACUGGGCUAAAGCUUGGAGAGCAACAACAGUAUCCUGAAAAGAGAACGAUCCCUAAUUAGAUACCCAAGUGUAAGAUGGUACGUGAGAUUAGCACAGCUCCUAUUGCCUUGAUGCUUUAUCAGUGCUUAUAAAUGGAGAGGGGCUUUGCAAGGAGCUAAGGAGACAAGAUACAAGUUCCUUGUAGAACUUGUCCUGGUGGACAGAAAGCUGACCCUAAGUCGGCAGUGUGCCUGGUGACCAAGAAGGCCACCUAGGGCACAUUAGGAAGAACUUUGCCAGCAGGACAAGGGAGUUGAUCCUCCCCCUCUUCUCAGCUCUAGUGAGGCACGUUGGGACUGCUGUGUCAAGUUCUGGGCUUCUUAGUAAAGAGAGACAUGGAGCUCCUGGAGCAGGUCCAAAGGAGGGUGACAAAGAUUAUUAAAGGAAUAAAGCAUCUCUUAUAAAGAAAGGUUGAAGGAGUUGGGCCUGUUCCGCCUCAAAAAGAGAUGAAUGAGAGGAGACCUCAUCAAUGUCUAUAAAUAUCUGAAGGGAAGGUGUCAAGAAGAUACCACGAGGUUCUUCUCAGUGCUGCCAAGCAAUAGCACAUGAGGCAAUGGGCAGAAAGUGAUGCACAGGAAGUUCCACCUGAACACAGGGAAGAACUUCUUUACUGUGCAGGUGACUGUGCACUGGAACAGGUUGUCUAGAGAGGUUGUGAAGUCUCCCUUACUGGAGAUAUUAAAGAACCAUCUGCAUGCAAUUAUGUGCAGUGUGCUCUAGGAUAACCCUGCUUGAGGAGUGAGGUUGGACCAGAUGACCCACUGAAGUCCCUUCCAAUCUGACCCAUUCUGUGAUUCUGGGGCAACAGAUUUCAAUUAACCCAAAAGACCUGGUAUAAUGCUGUGGCAACAGUGACUGCUGUCUACUGCUAACUUGGAACUCAGGUAAAUUGUCAUUACCUAAAACUAAAUUAUGUAUGAAGCUGCCUACAAAGAGCAUGAUGUCUCCUGACAAGAUAGCCUGUGUGAGCACCAAUUAUCAAAUAUUAUUCAAAUCAAUAUGCAGUCAGGAAACAUUGUCUUAGUACUGAGAUUCAGCUUGCAGACUGGACUGCUCCCAGAAGCUUUCUUUUUACCACACCCAGUUGUUACCUGGCUGGAGGAAAAACCACCAUAUGGGUUCUGUUGUUUGAUAAGCCAGAACACAAUGCGGGAAAUAUGGGACAAGUCUUCUGGAGCAAAUUUUGUUCUGUUGAGCAAAGCCAGGAGCACAUAGCUGGUAAUUUCAAUCUCAGCAGAAGGGGCACGGGAAUAGAAGACAGGGAAAUGUUCUGCUGGUGGCUUAUUUUCUCUCUGCCAAUGAAUUGAACCACCUGAAAACAGAAAAGUGGGGUGUAAAAACUAUGGAAAAAUUACUUGCUGUUUUAUUCAUUGCUGUAUCAUUGCAGGAAAUAGAUAUACAAUUCUGUCUCUCCCUCUAUUCAGGAAAUUUUUUAAGCUGUGGGUGUCCUGAACUGGGUAAGUUUUAUUUAUUUAUGGAAAAGAAAACAGAAAGCGAUGGAAAGAGAAUUAAUAAAAGGAGGCUGUAUAAGUCAGAGAGAGAUUGAAGUGAAGGCAGGGCAGCAGAAGGAUGCUAAGGCAGUCACAGACAGAAGUACAUAACAUAGUGAAGGGAAUUGAGCUUGUUCAGCAUGUAGAAGAGGAACCUAAUCAGGAAAUUAGGUACAAUCUUCCAGUACCUUGGACUGAGACUUGUGGGGGACUCUCUCUCCACCUAAAUUGUCUCAUAAUUCUUAGAAGAUCAGGCCACAGCUCAAACUUUUUGAAGCCCAACUAGACAGACAGAAAAACUCCUAGAGAUAAAUUCAGUAGCAUAGCAGGUAUGAAAUGGGAAGGGAGCAGCAUGCAUGUGAAAACUGUGCAUCAGAAUAGCUUACAUCACAUAAAGGCCAUUCCAUCAGCUGUAUUGCUUGUACCAUGUCCAUACUACCCUUACCAUUUCUGACAGCUGUCCUGUCCAGCUUCUCCAGGAAGAACUGAUGUCUUUCCUCUUUGCCAGCUAAGCCAUAAGCAUAGGCAAAGAGGGCCUGGUUAUACAGGUUGUGGACCCCAUUGGUAAAUGCAGUCUCCAAACAGUUCAUGCCGCUCUGAAUGACAGGAUGCUGAUAAUGCAAAACACAGUAGGCUUGUCAGGUGCUUGGGUUUGUGUCUCUGCUUCUCUUUAAAUACUUCCAUCACUGUUUAAGCUGCAAUCACUGCCCCUUCAUUCUAGAAAUAUACAUUAUCCAUGGCAUGUUUAAGGGCCUACAGUGUGUAUCAAACCUUUCAGCCUUACAGACUAUCUCUGCGAGACCUACUUCAUCUCAGACAUUACCAGCACACUACUUACCAUGUCUUAUCUACGCAGCUUCACUUAAACAUACGGCACCAGGUUCUUGUAAAGAUACUGGAAACUAAAUUAAUGUUGCUGAAGAACUAUUUGAUUCUGGACAAUGUUUUCAUCCUGGUCUCAGAUACUUAAAUGAUGUCCCAUACCACAGUAACUGAGAAAUGUGCAAAAAAUCAGCACAUCUACAACAUAUUUGUCAGCUUGGGAACAAUUCUCCUCUUCCCCAUUAUAAAAGAACAAAGUCAGCAUAAAAACAGGGUGGCAAGGAAAUGCAGGAAGUAUACUAUGCAGAACAGAACUUGGAUGUCAUUGCCCUAUGUCUAGUAUUCCCACCAGCAACUCGUCAUUUCCUCCCAUUACUAACAAUUCCACAGGGAAAUGGAAACGUAACUUGGAUCCAAAUGUACAGAGUGAUUUGGCAGGACUGAAGGUUUGAAUAGCCUGAACUUUGGACUGGGCAAAAUCAGAGAAAAUUCCAAAGUGGACUCUGGAUGGGGUGGGCAAAUUCAGUCUGGAUUUUGCACCUACUUAGACUACUAUUACUUAAAACUGGAUUCCGUAGAGGUUUUUUAAGUUAAUCCAUAGUUACUAGAUACAUAAGUGAUUUGUUACACUCAUCAAACACUUAUGGCUACUUCAGGGUUCUGGAAACUACUGUCUACAGACUGCUACUGUCCUACAAUCAUUAUUCAAGUUCCACAUUGUUAAAUAAUACAGAUGUGAGGACUAUGACUUGUGGACUCUUUGACAAAUGGCUGACUGUACUAACAGAGCACCAAAUACCUACUGCAGCAGAGUGUCCAGCCUCCAGCAAUGCUGCCACCACGUAGGCUGUGAGUGAGUAUUCAGCCUCUUCUCCACCCUGAUGAAAAACAAGCAAAGAAUUGGUUAGUACAAAUAUCCUAGAAAGAAACAACAUAGUUAAUUCAUAGCUCAUAUGUCAGUUAGAUUUGAGAUCUGAAGUAAUUUCUGUCUCCCUGUGUGCACAGGAAUAAGAAAGAUCAAGUUCACUUAAUAUAAAGUUAAAAUUAUUUAAUGCAUUUUCUUGACUUUUGCAUAUAUGUGAUAAAGCACAUUAUAACCUAUGGCUAUGCCCAUAACACAGUAAUGGAAAAUAAAGCCUGAGACUUAUAACUCAUAAAGUUCGAAUUGUUUUUGUUUCAUCAUCAAUUACAGACAUUAGAAUCAUGCUCUGCUUGUAUAUGAGAGACACAAGAGAACAGUACUAGGAAGAGUAAGGGUGUGGUGGCAAGCUUGUGUAUGUCAGAAAUUGUCCAAAUCAAUCCUAACAGCGGGACUGGAAAUUUGAGACUAUACUCAGUUACCUUCAAAGCAUUGUUGAAAUGCGACCCAGCAUUUUCAAAGCAGCCAUCUGACUUCUGCUUGCU